CAGUAUGUAGUUUAAAUCAAAUAUUAAUUUUGGAGAUUAAAGAUGAAAGAUAAUUCCUUACUGA
rnacentral:tRNA from 1 species